GCAUUAAUGGGGUAGUGGUAACCUGGGUCGUUGCCAUAUCGAGCUUGCUCGACCCGCCGGGGGUUCGAUUCCCUCUUAAUGCA
rnacentral:tRNA from 1 species